GGUGUAGUAGCCUCCUUAACGGCUUCAUUCUGCAGUCGAGUUCUGAAGUCGUAGGCUAUGAUCCGACGGACAUGUUGGCUGGGGCUGUGAGAAGGGUGGGAGGAUCGCCUGUGUUCCCGACACAAUGGCAGUUUUGUGGGGUCUCGGCCCCGUUUGCUCCCCGCCUCUUUGGAUGUGUAGAGGCGCAUGGAGCCCCGAUUGGGAUGCGACCUAUGGUUGAUGGGGCGUCAUCGCCAUUGUAUGCGCUGGAGGGGGCCAUCGCCGGGUGGGCUGCUCCGUGUCUGCAAGACUGUGAAUGUACCGUGGGUUCGUCUUUGGAGUUCUUGGAUGGGUUACUGGAGAGGGGUCCGCUCCCCAAUGAGUCCUGUGCCGUAUUGGAUUGCGAUUCUCUGUAUCCGUCGUUGGAGCAGGCCCCGGCUGGCGUCAUGCUGUAUAGGUUUCUA
rnacentral:lncRNA from 1 species